CCUACGGGUGGCAGCAGUCGAGAAUUAUUCACAAUGGGGGAAACCCUGAUGGUGCGACGCCGCGUGGGGGAAUGAAGGUCUUCGGAUUGUAAACCCCUGUCAUGUGGGAGCAAAUUAAAAAGAUAGUACCACAAGAGGAAGAGACGGCUAACUCUGUGCCAGCAGCCGCGGUAAUACAGAGGUCUCAAGCGUUGUUCGGAAUCACUGGGCGUAAGGCGUGCGUAGGCUGUUUCGUAAGUCGUGUGUGAAAGGCGCGGGCUCAACCCGCGGACGGCACAUGAUACUGCGAGACUAGAGUAAUGGAGGGGGAACCGGAAUUCUCGGGGUAGCAGUGAAAUGCGUAGAUAUCGAGAGGAACACUCGUGGCGAAGGCGGGUUCCUGGACAUUAACUGACGCUGAGGCACGAAGGCCAGGGGAGCGAAAGGGAUUAGAUACCCGGGUAGUC
rnacentral:rRNA from 1 species